CGUAUAUAAUAUUACAGAGUAUUUCGAUAUAUCCAGAUAUCUUGAAUUUUUAAAUAAGAUUACUACUGAUGCUAUAUUAACGCGUUUGGUUUAAUACAAUAAUGUACUACUUGAUUGCAGUAUUUAUAAUAUUAUUAUAUUUGGUUCAGUUUAUAAAAUUCAGUAAUCUUGACAAUAAAAUAUAGUUUAUUCCAAAAUUGCCCUUAGUUAAAUUUGGCAAAAUUUUUUCUUACUGUUUACAAAUAAUUUUUUUUAC
rnacentral:lncRNA from 1 species